GACGAACGCUGGCGGCGUGCUUAACACAUGCAAGUCGAGCGAAUGGAUUGAGAGCUUGCUCUUAUGAAGUUAGCGGCGGACGGGUGAGUAACACGUGGGUAACCUGCCCAUAAAACUGGGAUAACUCCGGGAAACCGGGGCUAAUACCGGAUAACAUUUUGAACCGCAUGGUUCGAAAUUGAAAGGCGGCUUCGGCUGUCACUUAUGGAUGGACCCGCGUCGCAUUAGCUAGUUGGUGAGGUAACGGCUCACCAAGGCAACGAUGCGUAGCCGACCUGAGAGGGUGAUCGGCCACACUGGGACUGAGACACGGCCCAGACUCCUACGGGAUGCAGCAGUAGGGAAUCUUCCGCAAUGGACGAAAGUCUGACGGAGCAACGCCGCGUGAGUGAUGAAGGCUUUCGGGUCGUAAAACUCUGUUGUUAGGGAAGAACAAGUGCUAGUUGAAUAAGCUGGCACCUUGACGGUACCUAACCAGAAAGCCACGGCUAACUACGUGCCAGCCGCCGCCGUAA
rnacentral:rRNA from 1 species